CAGGCCUAACACAUGCAAGUCGAACGGCAGCACGGGGGCAACCCUGGUGGCGAGUGGCGAACGGGUGAGUAACAUAUCGGAACGUGCCCUGGAGUGGGGGAUAACUAGUCGAAAGAUUAGCUAAUACCGCAUACGAUCUACGGAUGGAAGUGGGGGACCGCAAGGCCUCAUGCUCGUGGAGCGGCCGAUAUCUGAUUAGCUAGUUGGUGGGGUAAAGGCCUACCAAGGCAUCGAUCAGUAGCUGGUCUGAGAGGACGACCAGCCACACUGGGACUGAGUCACGGCCCAGACUCCUACGGGAGGCAGCAGUGGGGAAUUUUGGACAAUGGGGGCAACCCUGAUCCAGCAAUGCCGCGUGAGUGAAGAAGGCCUUCGGGUUGUAAAGCUCUUUUGUCAGGGAAGAAACGGUGGGGAUUAAUACUUUCUGCUAAUGACGGUACCUGAAGAAUAAGCACCGGCUAACUACGUGCCAGAAGCCGCGGUAAUAAGGGC
rnacentral:rRNA from 1 species